UACGUAGGUGGCAAACGUUGUCCGGAUUUACUGGGUGUAAAGGGCGUGUAGCCGGGUUGACAAGUCAGAUGUGAAAUCCUGCGGCUUAACCGCAGAACUGCAUUUGAAACUGUUGAUCUUGAGUACUGGAGAGGCAGACGGAAUUCCUAGUGUAGCGGUGAAAUGCGUAGAUAUUAGGAGGAACACCAGUGGCGAAGGCGGUCUGCUGGACAGCAACUGACGGUGAGGCGCGAAAGCGUGGGGAGCAAACAGG
rnacentral:rRNA from 1 species